rnacentral:lncRNA from 1 species
CUCUUCUAAUCUCCAUACCCAGUAUUUUCCUGGCAGCCCCCAUAUCCUUCAUCUCAAACUCUUUACUAAGUUGAGAUUUCAACCUAUCUAUCUCCACCUUGCUUUUCGAAGCGAUAAGCAUGUCAUCCAUAUACAAAAGAAGAUAGAUAUAGUUACCUCUCCGAAGUUUUCGAAUAUAAACACAACAGUCAUACUCACUUCUGGAGAAACCAUGCUUUAGCAUGAAGGAGUCAAAUCACUUGUGCCAUUGCCGAGGAGAUUGCUUCAAUCCAUAUAGUGAUUUUAUCAAGCGACAUACCUAACGUUCCUUAUCCUCAACCUUGUAGCCCUCAGGUUGAUGCAUAUAGAUUUCCUCAUCCAAGUCCCCGUGCAAGAAGGCAGUUUUGACAUCGAGUUAUUCCAGCUCAAGAUCAUGAUGAGCAACAAUACUCAAUAGCACCCGAAUGGAAGCAUGCUUGACCACCGGAGAAAAGAUCUCAUUGUAGUCAACUUCCUCUCUUUGUGCAAACCCCUUAGCCACUAACCUUGCUUUGAAUCUUGUACCACCGAGCUUGGUAGGAUCCUCUUUCUUUUUGUACAACCAUUUGCAACCAAUAGCUUUCUUACCUAUGGGCAAUGGGACAACCUCCCAUGUUUGGUUCUUGUGAAGUGAUUCCAUCUCUUCUUCCAUUGCUGCCAACCAACUCUCACUAUUGUUGUUUAAAAUAGCUUCCUUGAAAGUGGCAAACUCAUCAUCCUCCACCGAGAGUGCAUACUCAACCAAAUUUGUCUACCCAUAGUGCCUCAAAGGCUCGUUUGACCCCAACUUUAGAACUUGCUUGUAAGUACAUCGUGGCCUAGAGGAAGCCAAGUUAUCUGCACGCUGCUGUUGUUGCUGUGCCUGUACAUUCUCUUGCUGAAUCGCCUCUUGUUCAAGCUCAUCAUCACUCUCAUCUUGAGUGUCUGCAUGAUGCUCUUUUUGAACAUGCCUAGAACCAGGUUGAUCUCUAGGUUCUAUGUCAACAACUUGAGACUUUGUAGUCUCAACAUCAUCACCACUGGGCACUGUAGCUUUCAACGAAGCUAUCAUGGAGUUCUUAUCAAAAGUAACAUCUCUGCUGAUUAUGAACUUAGAAUCCUCUACACACCAUAGCCUUUAACACCUACCGCAUACCCCAGGAAUAUAGCCUUCUUGGCCCUCGCAUCAAGCUUUCCCUCGUUGACGUGAUAGUAGGCUGUGCAUUCGAAUAUUCUGAGUUUCUCAUAAUCUGAAUGUUCUUCUGUCAAUACCCUGUAAGGUACAUCUCCAUCUAACCUUGAAUGUGGAAACUGGUUCACAAUGUAGCAAGCAUUUGCACCCGACUCUGCCCAAACCAGCAUAGGAUCGCAUACACAUCGAUUUCUCUCGAAAUGUGCAAUUUAGUCUUUCUGCGACCCAAUUCUGUUGCGAUGUAUUCCUAACUGUCCAGUGUCUCGCAAUGCCUUCCUUACCACAGAACUCCUUGAAAGCACCAUCUGUAUACUCAGUACCGUUAUCAGAUUGUAGCGUCUUCAAUUUCUUUCCUGUUCUGUUUUCAACCAUUGCUUUCCACUUCUUGAAAGCGUCAAAUACCUCAUUCUUAUGCUUCAAAAAAUAAAUCCAAGCAUAUCUAGAAUAAUCAUCAACAAAUGUAACAAAAUACCUGGAACCGCCUUCGGAAGUGACAGAAGCCAGACCUCAUACAUCCGUGUGCACAUAGUCUAGAAUACCUCUGCUUCUAUGUUUGCUUGGCUGGAACUGAACUCGGUGUGCUUUACUGUACACGCAAUGCUCGCAAAAAUCUAUGCAAAUCUUCUUCAAGUUCUUUAGCAAACCUUUCUUGACUAGCAGAUCUAGCCCCUUUUCAGACAUAUGCCCAAGCCUCCUAUGCCAUAGUCGAGUGCACUCACAUGGGUCUCUACCACUUCCACUUGUUCCAGCCGCUACAUCUUCUGUAACUGUAGUACCCUAAAGAGCAUAGAGAUUGCCUUCACGAAUACCCUUCAUCAUAAUCAAAGAACCACGAACAACCUUCUUUACUCCAUUCCAUGUCACAAUCUUGCAACCACCGGAGUCUAAAGCACCAACAUAGAUAAGGUUCUUCCGCAAAUCAGGAACAUGUCUAACAUCCAUCAAUGUUCUAACCACUUCAUCAAACAUUUUGAUUCUAAUUGAACCGAGCCCCACUGUUUUACAGGAAUGGUUAUUACCCAUUAACACAGUUCCACCAUCAGUGCUUCUAUAGAUAGUAAACCACUUCCUAUUUGGACACAUAUGGUAAGAGCAUCCAGAGUCAAGAAUCCACUUACCGGAGAUUUCUUCAUCACAAGAGAUGGUGUAGCACUCAUCGCUUUCCCCUCCUUUCGAGGCAUAGCUAACCUCUUGCUUCACUUGCACCUUCCCAUUGUUGUUGUUCUUGUUGUUCUUCUUCCAACUCCUUUUGUUUAUACAAUUCGCCUUGAAAUACCCAAGCUCGCCUCAUUUGAAACAAGACCUUUCCGCAAGAGGUCUAGACCUCGAUCUAAAUUUUUCUCCCUUGCCCUUUGGUCGCACAUUGCUUCUACCUCUUACAAACAAUCCUUGAGAUUGCUCCUUGGACAUGUCACUAGUUAAAAUCUUUUGAAGAUCAUCCGCUAGAAGUGACGUUCUAGUGUCCUCCAUCACAAGUUUAUCCCCCACAAGCAUCAAUUUUUGCACAAGAUUCUCGUAAGACUUUGGCAAUGAAAGAAGUAGUGGAAGUGCUUGAUCCUCAUCAUCUACUUUCACAUCAAUUUUCUUCAAGUCCGAUAUGCACCUAUCAAACUUGUUGACGUACUUCCGAAUUGGUGUACCUUCAUCCAUCUUGCAAGUAUACAAUUUGGACUUCAAAUAGAUCCGAUUAGUUAGAGUCUUUGUCAUGAAGUUCAUCUCCAACUUUGUCCACACCUCCGCCACCGUUUCCUCACCAUCAACUAAGAAAGCAACAUCUCUUUCAAGGCAUAGAAUGAUAGACGCUCGUGCCUCAAGAUCUAGCUCUUCCCAAUCCUCGUCAGACAUAUCUAUGUGCUUCUUCUCCUUUCCCCCCAAUGCCUUGUGCAACUUUUGAAAAAUUAACAAAUUUUUCAUUUGCAUUCUCCAAUAUGAGCAAUCAUUCUUUCCAUUGAAUUUCUCUAUCUCAUACUUCCCAAUCUUCACCGUUCCUUUAGUAGACAUGAUUUAUCUACUUGUUUACCGGAAAUAAACCAACAAAGUUCACUUGGGAAUUUUCACAAACACCUUGUGUGCACAACAAAGUUCAAGCCAACCCACCAAAAUCGGAGUUUGACCACCCUGAUUUAAGAAGAUGCUCUGAUACCAAAUUAUUGGGAAAACAACACUCCCAAGAAUGCCCAAGAAAGAUAAUUUGCAAUGUGAAAAAUCCCAAACCACUUGAAAGAUAAGAAAUUGGGGAAGAAAUGAUUUUCAAUAUAAAUGAAGAACAAUGGAUUUGGAUUACUUGAACAAGCCUCAAGUUAAUCUCAAAGAAAGAAAAAUGCCUUUGAAUUUAUACCCAAGAAGAACAACCUCUUACUUGAUAAAUUCUAUCCAAGCCCUCUCUAUUUUCUCUUCUCUAAAAUCGGGUUCUAAUGCAAAAGGGAAAAAAUCAGCUAUAUAAAGGCUAAAUCGGGCGCCUAGGCGCCAUGUUCCUGCCUUCCUUUCAGUAUCGGGGCAGCAUCGGCCAGCGCCUAGGCGCCUCAACUUCUUCUCCAUUUCUCGCACAUACAUAUUUCACACAAAUCAUAAUCUGUUCUAUUAUCACCCAAAAUCGAAGAAUGAUUCAUGUUGCGUUGAUUUGGGGGGUGCUGCAACCAUAAAAGCCCUAAUCUAAUGAGCAUCGACUACCCACCAAUCCCCUCAAUCUACAGGUUCUAGAUCCACAAUGGCAACACCCAGCAGUAUUAUCAAUUUGUCUACGGAGAAGAAGAGGUCCGUCAAAACAACUAAAAAACAUGCUCCAUAUUUAGAGAAUGGAUAGUUGGGGAAUGGAUCACGAACAUGAAGAUACAGGUUUGGGCUAGCUUGAAGUUUGGGUCGGUUGUAUGGAUUUUUGUUGUUUAUUGGGCUAAUGAUGAAGUAUGUAAUUAGUGGUGAAUUAACUGUAUUGGAUGAUUGUAUAAUGGCGUAAUGUCAUGGCAGUUAAUUAUGGGCAGCAGAAGUGAUUGUUGGUUUUGCUCGUGGUGGAGGUUGCAAUGGAGCUAUGGCACGUCGAGUGUUUAUUGUUGAUAGUGGGCUUACUGUUGGAUGGUGACGGGUGGACGAUGGAUAGAAGGUGGUGUGUGUAGAAGGUUAUUUUGUAUGUUGAUGGCUAUUGGAAAUCUUGUAACACACUGAGAAUUUCCCUUUUGUAGAGUUGCAGGAGACUUAUAGCAAAUACAAAGUGAUGACUAGUAGCUGUUACUUUAGUGUUGUGACUGGCUUUAGGAGAAUUUUGCUAUUUGUGUACUGAAGUGUCAACGCCGAUGUACACGCCCCUCACAAGAGGGAGGGGCCUAUGUCCAAUAAAAAAAGUGUGGGCCUCUCUCUUGUGAUCUGCGUGUAUGUGUAGCAAAAUUCACUUUCAGAUGAUAUGAAUAGAUCAAUUGUAGUUGUAGCUCUGUUUGGUGGAGCAAGCAACAAAGGAGAAUAGGUGAAGAAGAAAGAAAGAAGAAGAAAAUGGAGGGAAAGUGGGCAACAAGCUGACUUUAAUUUUCAUUCAUCUACUGACAAUUACAAUUACAACUAUAUAAAUAACAAAGCACAAACCUAAUAGUAAAGGGGCUUGUGCCAACCCCGUAUACAAGUUUAAUAAAAACAUAAAGUAUAAAUAAAUGCCCUAAACAAAUGGCGCAACAAAGGAUAUCCGUAUAAAAAACUCAAAAUAGUAAUGACUUCCUAACAUUCUACUUAUGUGAAAGAGAGAAAAAAUCACAUCGUACAAGUCAGUUAUAUUUAAAUAUUGUAUCUAAAAUUAUAAAUUUUUAUAUGAUACAUAUGUGAAUAGAAAUUGUAGCACUUAAUAAUUUGUUGCCAUAUGAAGUUCCACCACGUACUUCUGGUCGUAGACGGACGUCUAGAAUAUCAUCUACAAGAUAGUUUCCACAAUCGCGUAAGUGCGGGAGGUACAGCGCUACAGGGCAUACACGUCGAUUUUGUAAAAGUCAGAUCCCACUAAACAAUGACUUGACGGAUGUGUAGUAGCUAUAUAAAUCAUAUGUAUUCUCUAUUUGUAAUAUGUUUUUGAUUUUCUCAAUUUAAAUCGAAUGUAAUCUUCAUCACAUUGUUUAAUUACUCUUUUUAAUAGCAUAUUUGAAUAAAAGAAUAUGAUUGAUUUAAACAUUGCGAUUUAAUAAUUGAUAUAUUGCAGCAGUUAAAUAUUUAAUUGGUUAUGUAUAAUUGGUUAAGUAUUUCUUUAAUUAAUUAUAUUAAAUGGUAAGUAAAAAAUUAAUUAUUUCAUAUUUAAUUACUUAUUUCAAUUAUUUAUUUAAAUAAAAAUAAUAGCACUUACUACGAGUUUUCAUUUAAAUAUUUCUUUCAUUAAUUAUCUUCAUUUGACACGUAUAUUUGAUUAUUUAUAUUCCUUUGAAAAUUAUACUCCGUUAAUUAUCUUAAUGUGUAUAUUGUUUAUUUAAUAUUUGAUUGCUUUAUUUCGAUUAUUUAUGUAAAUUAAAAUAAUAAUAUUUUUUUCUUUUAAUACAAGUAAGACAACAAUAUAUAUUAACUGACAAUAUGGAGAGAUUACAGACACAACAACAAUGUAAAUUAAAAUAAUAAUAUUUUGUUAAUUAUCUUAGUACGUAUAUUAAUUAUUUCAUAUUUAAUUACUUAUUUUGAUUAUUUAUUUGAAUAAAAAUAAUAGCGCUUCCUUCGAGUUUUCAUUUAAGUAUUUCCUUCAUUAAUUAUCUUCAUUUGGCACGUAUAUUUGAUUAUUUAUAGUCCUUUAAAAAUUAUAUUUCGUUAAUUAUCUUAAUAUGUAUAUUGUUUAUUUAAUAUUUGAUUGCUUUAUGUUGAUUACUAUGUAAAUUAAAAUAAUAAUAAUUUGUUUUUUUUUUCUUUUAAUACAAGUAAGACAACAAUAUAUAUUAACUGACAAUAUGGAGAGAUUACAGACACAACAACAAUGUAAAUUAAAAUAAUAAUAUUUUGUUAAUUAUCUUAAUACGUAUAUUAAUUAUUUCAUAUUUAAUUACUUAUUUCGAUUAUUUAUUUGAAUAAAAAUAAUAGCACUUACUUCGAGUUUUCAUUUAAGUAUUUCUUUCAUUAAUUAUCUUCAUUUGGCACGUAUAUUUGAUUAUUUAUAUUCCUUUAAAAAUUAUAUUUCAUUAACUAUCUUAAUGUGUAUAUUGUUUAUUUAAUAUUUGAUUGCUUUAUUUUGAUUACUUAUGUAAAUUAAAAUAAUAAUAUUUUAUUUUUUUCUUUUAAUACAAGUAAGACAACGAUAUAUAUUAAAUGACAAUAUGGAGAGAUUACAGACACAACAACAAUGUAAAUUAAAAUAAUAAUAUUUUGUUAAUUAUCUUAGUAUGUAUAUUAAUUAUUUCAUAUUGAAUUAUUUAUUUCGAUUAUUUAUUUGAAUAAAAAUAAUAGCACUUAUUUCGAAUUUUCAUUUAAGUAUUUCUUUCAUUAAUUAUCUUUAUUUGGCACGUAAAUUUGAUUAUUUAUAUUCCUUUAAAAAUUAUAUUUCGUUAAUUAUCUUAAUAUGUAUAUUGUUUAUUUAAUAUUUGAUUUUUAUAUUUCGAUUAUUUAUGUAAAUUAAAAUAAUAAUAUUUUGUUAAUUAUCUUAGUAUGUAUAUUAAUUAUUUCAUAUUUAAUUACUUUUUUCGAUUAUUUAUUUGAAUAAGAAUAAUAGCACUUACUUCGAGUUUUCAUUUAAGUAUUUUUCUAAUUAAAUAUUUAAAAAAAUUAUUACAUUACAACACGAAUCAUACUGAAAAAAACAACAUUUACAUUUUAAUAAAAUAAUAUACAAUGCACUAAGGAUCACAAUUAUAUUUAUACAAGUCGCAAGCUAAUUUAUGCCUCCACAUAUCAAUCCAAAACUGAUUUAUUGUAUCAACAUUGCGACCAAUGCUCAAAAACUCUAUGUACUUUAUUGCAAAUAAGCCACAGUUGCCCCGUAACCGAAGAAGAAUAUAUUAGUUCGAUAACAUAUAACUGAAAAUUAAAUCUUAAAAUUUAAAAGUUUUAAAUCCUUACGAUCUUUCUUGUCUUGCCGUCGUCAUGUUCCGCACAAUGGCUAAUUUGUCAUUUACUCGAAUCAUCGCAUGACUAGACAUCAUGGGCAUGAUCACAGCCAUUGGCUUCAGUAUUUGCUCCAGUUAACUUUGUGUCAGACAGCUAUGAUCAGAGUCGUACACAUACAUAGUGGAAUCAGCAAAUAUCAUCUCCACUGAAAAAUAGUGUGAGUUCGCGAUCACUAGAAUGUACAUAUGUAUACAAUCCGUCCAAGGCUUUUCGCACCUCAGCUGUAGCCCAAUCACCCACUCCAUCAUGUACUCAGACAGAACAUACGCAUUCCCCUUGCUUAGGAACUUGUGAUAUUCAAUAGCUACGACACGAACAAACUUAGAGCUCAGGAUAACUCAACUAGGACUGUCAUAAGAUCUCGGGUAUCUUCGAGCCCAAUCGCGUAACAAUUCCAUAGUCAAGUCGAUAUCCUGAAACAAAAAAACACCAACAAAAAAGAUAGAGUCAUUUAAGUAAAUGAACCAACUACUUCUAUAAACAUAAUAAAUGGAAACUCAAAAAACUUACAUCAUCGACGAGCCAAGUUGAGGUCGUCAGUACAUUUUCGAACCACUUUUUAGCGUUUGGCACAGUCAUACAGCCAAUGGUAUAGCUAUCUCUGAAAAAUGAAAAGAAGUUAUGAAAAAUACAAAAAAAGAGUAGCAAAAUCAUAAAAUACUUACUCGGACUUAAGAGAUUUGAACCAAUCAUCGAACGCCUUCUGUCUUACCGGUUCGAUGUCGUGAAAAAGAUUGGGGACCGUCCCAUCCACAAACCCCCUUCUCUUCACCUCGACCGUGUAUGGGGAAACGAUAUACUGUGAAGAAAAUCUCGAUCUCUUACCGACCAUCAACUCUGGCGUGUCAUUAGCACGUUUCUUACCCUUCGGCACCUCCGUCGUCCCCUCCGACACGAAUACUACAUCGUUAUCCGUCAUCUCUGGCGUCCUCUCGUCCUCCGCAACCCCCUCAUCCACCUCUACUACCACCUCUGGUGUCCCCUCCGCUACCUCCUCGGUCACCUCCUCCGACACUCCUGUCCCUCCCUCUGGCACCCCCUCCAACACCCCUGUCCCUCCCUCUACCCCUUCUAUCUAGGCCUUCUCUAGCACCUCCACCCCGGCCAUCCCGGCCUCCACCAGCACCUCCGACUCAACCUCUAUCCCUUUCCUCCCGGCCUCCGGCACCGAAUAAAAAAUUCAUCGAUUCCUCUAGCCGUUGCCCACCAGUCUCCCCGACACUCCCUCUGUCAUGUCUACUGUCAGAACCUCGAAAGCCUGCUACAUCGCCUCGAAGUGCUGCAACCUCAGUAUGAAAGUCUCCUAUAUCUCGUCGCAGCACUCCAAUCUCAUAUCGUAGUGCUGCUGCCGCUGUCAUAAAAUUUCGUUGCAGCUACUACCUCUGUCGUAAAAUCCUGUCUCAGCACCCCUAUCUCCUUUCGUAGUGCUACUACCUCUGUCGUAAAAUCACGUCGCAUCGUUCCUAGCUCCUCUCUAAUAAUUCCAAUCAUGUGUGCAAAGAAAUCAUCUGAAUGACGGGUCUGACUGGGUGUAGGCCAUCCAUGUAAGACGGAGAUCUCCUUGAAGAAUGUGAUAAUGACGGUAGAGGUGAUCUCAUCGGUGGAGGCGAAGGAGACUCCAAAGUGGAAGUGCUCAUUCUUCUACUGCAUGACGCUCCUACACAGAGAAGACAAUUAAUAUUAAUAAUCCACACAUGAAUAUUAUAAGUCAGAAUAAAUAAUGAUCUUAAAUAAACGUACCCUAUUUUUAUCCGGAACGGACUCAAACACUGGAUCAUUUUUAGUAGGUGGAACAUGUAAUUCACAUACAUAUAUUUGAUCCUCCCCUUCCAUCGAAACAACCAACUCAGCAUAAAUUUCGAGCUGACAUAUCAUAUUUCAACGUGUUAAUGAGCAUAUAUCGAGCCGAGUAAAUAUACGUACAAUAUAAAUUGCAAAUAUAUGAUACUCACCUGAGGAUCGUCGAGGAUAGCUGUCAAAUCUUUAGCCGAUGGCUUCUCAUGUGCUCGCCAAUGAAGCAUUCGUGGGCAGCUGGUCUCCCCUUUGAUCGCCCAUUUGGUACCCAAAGCAGGGAUAGCCUCAUAUGCCCACAACUGCAACAAUUACAAAAAAAAAAAAAAAAACUUUACUUAUACAUUUAAUAAAAAAGUUUAACACGCAUUACGUUAAGCUGAAUAUUUACCUGCAAAGCCAUGCAAAAGCCAUAUACAUCAUAUUUGUGCUCGCCCUUCUCUGAUGUCGGCAUAGUAUGUAUCUUCCUGAAUACGUGGAGAGUAUCGGUGUAACAUCUCCGACCCCAUGAAAAGCUGUUGAAAGCAUCGAUAUCAUCAACAACAUCCACUGAAAAAGGGUCAAUCAACGUCCUACGAUGUCGACACCUUAAUAUACUCUCCAGUAUAAACACUAAUCCUAACUUCAGCUUGUCUAACAUUUGAUCGCAUCUCCUAAAUGCGUCAUCUAACUGUGGUGGUGUAACCGGCCCAUUACCUCCAAAAAUAUAAAUCCAAUAACCUUUUAUUUGGUAUAAUAUGAGCUCUCGCUUUUUCUUCUCCAGUACAUCUCAAGCCUGUAAUGAAGGCAAAUUCAAGGAUCGAGAAUCUCGAUAUCUUGCCGUCCCCCAUAGCAAAAUAAAAGUUGAUCGCCAUCGACUGGUUUAAGCAGCCGGAGUAAUAAGGAAUCAAUAAUCUGUUUGGAGAACUGCAUGUCCUUCAACGAAUAGAAGGACCAUAAAAACGAUCGAUGGAGUAUGUUGAUGUGCUCCUUGUACAGCCCCUCAAUCACUGUCACAUAGCUAGAAAAGUUACAAUACGUCGUAACUUUUUUCAAAUGAGCUCUUAGAUCGUUGUCCAUUUGAUAUUCCAUCCUACAAAAAUAAUACAUGUUAAAACCAUAUACAAGAUAUUAUAAAUAAAAUAUCGUAUUUUCAAAUUUAACCAAUCAGAUUUCAUAUUAAUAAAGCAAUAAAUAGAUUCAUCUAAUCACAUAUUAAAAGAGUUAAACAAAAAAAUUCUCACAUAUUUGAUUAUUUAAUAUUUCUUUAAAAAUUAUAUUUCGUUAAUUAUCUGAAUAUAUAUAUUAUUUAUUUCAUAUUUAAUUAUCCUAUUUCGAUUAUUUAUUUGAAUAAAAAUAAUAAUAUUUAAUUCAAUUUUUCAUUUUACUAUUCCUUUAAUUAAUUAUCUUAAUUGGUUAAGUAAAAAAAUUAUUAUUCAAUUUAAUUUAUUCUUAAAUAUUUCGUUAAUUAGUUAUAUUAUUUAUUUCAUAUUUAAUUACUCUAUUUCGAUUAUUUAUUUGAAUAAAAUUAAUAAUAUUUAAUUCAAAUUUUCAUUUAACUAUUUCUUUAAUUAAUUAUCUUAAUUGGUUAAGUAAAAAAAUUAUUAUUCAAUUUUAAUUUAUUCUUUAAAUAUUUCGUUAAUUAUGUAUAUUGUUCAUUUCAUAUUUAAUUAUUCUAUUUCGAUUAUUUAUUUGAAUAAAAAUAAUAAUAUUUAAUUCAAUUUUUCAUUUUACUAUUUCUUUAAUUAAUUAUCUUAAUUGGUUAAGUAAAAAAAUUAUUAUUCAAUUUAAUUUAUACUUAAAUAUUUCGUUAAUUAUGUAUAUUAUUUAUUUUUUAUUUAAUUAUUCUAUUUCGAUUACUUAUUUUAAAAAAAUAAUAAUAUUUAAUUCAAUUUUUCAUUUUACUAUUUCUUUAAUUAAUUAUCUUAAUUGGUUAAGUAAAAAAAUUAUUAUUCAAUUUAAUUUAUUCUUAAAUAUUUCGUUAAUUAUGUAUAUUAUUUAUUUCUUAUUUAAUUAUUCUAUUUCUAUUACUUAUUUGAAAAAAAUAAUAAUAUUUAAUUUAAUUUUUUAUUUUACUAUUUCUUUAAUUAAUUAUCUUAAUUGGUUAAGUAAAAAAAUUAUUAUUAAAUUUAAUUUAUUCUUUAAAUAUUUCGUUAAUUGUGUAUAUUAUUUAUUUCAUAUUUAAUUACUCUAUUUCGAUUAUUUAUUUGAAAUGUAUAUUUAAUUACUAAACAUAUAUUUAAGUAAAAAAGAAAAAAAAUUAAAAUUCUAUUUGAUUUAUCUUUAAAUAUUUCGUUAAUUAUCUUAAUAUAUAUAUUAUUUAUUUCAUAUUUAAUUACUCUAUUUCGAUCAUUUAUUUAAAUACAAAUAAUAAUAUGUAAUUCGAUGUUUCAUUUAAGUAUUUCUUUAAUUAAUUAAAUUAAUUGGUUAAGUAAAAAAAUAUUAUUCAAUUUAAUUUAUUCUUUAAAUAUUUCAUUAAUUAUCUUAGUAUGUAUAUUAUUUAUUUCAUAUUUAAUUACUUUAUUUCGAUUAUUUAUUUGAAUAAAAAUAAUAAUAUUUAUUCAAUUUUUCAUUUAAGUCUUUUUUCAAUUAAUUAUAUUAAUUGUUUCCAUAAUUAAUUAUUUUAAUAUUCUUAAAAUGUAUAUUAUUUACUUCAUAUUUAAUUACUCUAUUUCGAUUAUUUAUUUGAAACGUAUAUUUAAUUACUAAAUAUAUAUUUAAGUAAAAAAGAAAAAAAAUUAAAAUUCUAUUUAAUUUAUCUUUAAAUAUUUCGUUAAUUAUCUUAAUAUAUAUAUAUAUAAUUUAUUUCAUAUUUAAUUACAUUUUUUAACAUAAAAAUUAAAAUAAAUUCAGAAAAUAAAAAAAUAAAAAAUUCGGACCCAUUGCCGGUCCGGACCCGCCCAAAUGGUUCUAGUCCGGACCAUAAUGGUCCGUUGCGGACCAUAUUGGUCCACUACGGACCAUCUGAUGGUCCGUUACGAACCAAGAUAGCAUGGUCUGUAACGGACGGGCUGGAGCUUGCCGGAAAACUUCAUUUUCGGCGAGCUUCGUCUCAUUUUUUUAAUUUUUUCAAUAUUUCAAACUCAAAUUCGAUCUUUUCUUCCAUUUUAACCAUAAAAAAAUUGAAUUUAACUCAUAUUCAAAUCCUAAACAUUCAAAGUUUCACAUAUUCAAAGUAAUUAUUUAUAGAGAACAUGUCUAACCUUCCAGAAAAUGGCGAUCUCCGGCUGAUCGAGAUGCGUUCGGUCUUGGUCGAAGUGGGACAGGUUCGGGUUGUCCGUAGGCGGCGUGGAUCCGGACUAUUUUUUUCUUCUUUUUUUUUCUCCUCUUUUUUUUCUAUCCUCUUCUUUUCUCUCUAUUUUCCUCUUUUCUUCUUUCCAAAUGAGGGUUUUUUCGACCCUUUAGAUUUUGUUUAAAUUUUUUUUUUAACAAAAAAUUUGGUCAAUGGCCCAUAUGAAAAAGUGGCCGGGUGGGGCAGCCAUUGGCUACCAUUUCCUCAGAAGAGAGUCGACUGCAGCUAGGGUUUCUUCGUAGAAGGAGGGAUAAAAUUAGGCUUAGAAAUGGCUUCGACGGUAAAUAGCUAAAGCAAAAAUAGGCAUUAGUUGUGGGUAUAAAUAAAAAUGUCGUAUUAUUCUUUCUCUUGUCCAUAUGAAAAUUAAUAUUAGAGGAUGGAUAACGUCAAGAAUUUUAAAAAAAAAAAACUUUACAAAUGAACAGUAAAUGAUGGAUUGAGAUAUAUGUUAUAGGAAAGCACGUUUUCCCACCGAAAUUGUUUAGUUUUAGUUCGAAAAUUUUUAAUAUAAUUUCAGUAUAUUAUUUUCGCAUUAUAAACAAAUUUUUAUCAUUGAAAUUUUUAAAUUUAUUCUAUAUUUUAAUUUUUAGGAUUUUGUUUUUUUUUUUUUGUAAAUUAAAAUUUUAAAUACUUUGUAAUUAAUAGAUAGAAUUGAUUGAAAAAAAUUGCGCAUUUGGGUUGGGCCUAAAAGUUGGCAACCAAUUUUCAUGGACCAACCCAUAAAUUAACCCAACCCAGCUAGCCUUCUUAACCCAAAAUCCAAAUUCACCCAUAAGCCCCCGUUUGAGCCCCAUUAUUCCUCAUUACAUUAAAUUAAGUUUUUCUCUCUCCUACUUUUAACCACACAAUCUUCAAUAAAAUAAUAUUACACGUAAAUCAAAAUCUUUUCUUUUCUUUUCAAUCACUCAUUUUUCAAAAAAACACUAUUCAAAACAUUAUAAUUUCCAAGAAAUGGGGCUCAAACGGGGGCUAAAUGUUUCUUUUUUUGCAACGUUUACUGAUUGUUGACGUCAAAAUAAGCAAGGUUAAUCUUAAGCCAACUUUAAGAAAAAAGGGAGAUUUAUUGUUGAAAAAGACUACAAAAUAUGUUGAGAAAGUGUAAUUGUGCUAUGAAUUGUUAUAUGAAUUCACUUGCCUUUUACAAGAGUCCUAUUCAACUAUUUAUACAUAGUUUCAGUCGAAGUUACAUCAAAUCAAUCAAAUCAGCUACAGUACUGAGCUCAAAACUCGGGUCACCAAAUUUUCCUGUGAUUGGUUGACGAGGCUAGUCCCCACGUGUCAAUAUUUUCCCCAGGUAAUGAUGACCUGCAAGGAGUUUCAGAUUUAGGACUUAGGAUUAACGGUUUUGGACGGUGAUGAUGUCACCUGUGGCAAGUGUAUGCAAUUGAUAGGGUGAUGUGAUAGGGGGUAAUCAUGAUAUUUUUCUAAGAUAACAGCAGGACUGUCCGACCUGGGAGCAUGGACCGAACUCACAUUUGCCUAAGGUGGGGUCAGCGAACUGUUUUAACUUAGAUCGGAGUUCGGUUGUCAACAGUUACCCCCAGUUUAGUUCUGCCGUAGAGGGAACUGACCUCAUUGAUGCUUUCUCCAAGAAGUGCAUUUAUUGUCGUGCCAAGUGUCACCUUUUUUACAGGGAUGAGCUGUAAGGCAUUGUAAAUGGCUUCUUUAGCAAGCUUGAUUGUGAAACUACGUCAUUUUGGUCUUUUAGGCUUUUGAGCCGUUGAUUUUUCCCUCUAUUUCUGGAUAGACGGUUCAGAUUACGCCUUUUGGGUUUCCUUUCCUUUAAAUUCCUUUUCUCUCUUUAUUUCACUGUUUUACUUUGUGCAGUAAGUUUUUCUCCAAAAAUCUUUUGGCAAUUUCUUGGGUUCAUUUCCUAUUUCUCGAGUGAGGCAGUCAGUCUUCAGUUCUUAGGUAUUUCUUUGCUUUUUCUUCGCACAUUUCUGUUUGCCAUUAUUCAUUUUCUUCUGCAUGAGCUCGGACGAUUCUAGAGUGCAUUCCUGGGAGAAUAAUCAAGAAGAAUCCGUCCCGUCCACUCCUAGUUCUUCAUCUAGUUGCCAGGAAAUCUUGACACCCAUCUCUAUCUCAGUAGUUAAUCUGACAGACCUAGGACAUCCCGUGAUUUGGAGUCAGGAGGUGAGGAUUCGAGGGGAGAGGAAGUUGGGUUUUGUGAGGGGAACGACUCAGGUGAAUGGAGGGCCAAUUCCUACAAGUCUGUGGUUUCAAGUGAUAUGCUGGCAAGCUGGCAAGCUAAAUACGCUAUUCCGAGCUUAGUUAUUAUGAUAAUACCUGAGCCGUCUGACCAAGCUGAUGCUCCUUCGGAGGGAUGUGUCGCUCUAAACUCGGCCAUUCUUCAGGCCGGACUUAGGCUUCCAUUUCCUAGAAUAAUUCGUAAAUUCCUUUCAUUCUGGGAAAUAGCUCCCACACAGUUAUGCCCAAACGGUUGGUGGACAAUAAUCACCACCCUCGUUCUUUGGGACAGGCUAGGGAACCCCGAGUUGACUGUUAAGCAAUUUAACUCCCUUUUCACCUUUAAAGAAGAUGGGAAGAACUCUGGCUGGUGGUACACCAAUGUUAGGUUGAGAACCGGAGCUCACUAGUCUUAGUUACUCCGUCCUCAAUCAAAAAAUGGAAAGAAGAGUUCUUUUACGUAUCUGGGGAAAGGCAGUUUCAUCCUUCCAAGGUGAACCGAGAGGAUGUGGUCCCCAGACUCUACCAUUCGUUGUGUAAGUGAUUUAUAAUUUAUUCUUUGAUGAGGUACGCACUGAUGUGAUAUUGACUUUUGUCAUGUUUGAUAGAUUAUAAAAAGGAGACCUUGACUAAGGACAUACAAUGGCGAGCCGAAGUGAUAAGAGUGUUGCCAAAGAGGCAGAGUUCCUGUAAGUUCGUAAUAUCAUAUUCGAACUUAUUUCAAGCAGGUCUAGUUUUGGUGUGGAUGUUGAGCCCGAUUGACGUUAGGGCGGCUGCUUCUACUUCAUUUGACCCAGGUAACAAUUUAUUUAUUUAUUUAUUUAUUUAUUAUAUUUUUUUUUUUUACCAAGCACUAAUUACAUGUAUCCAUUGUUAUCAGCUCAUCAAGCAGAAAUGUUGGAGUAUAAAGCUGCGAAGGUUGCCGAAACAGCCAAGAGGAAGGCAAGGGAUGUCCUUCCAAGGGUUGACGUGGCUUCGGAGGAGACUGAAGAGGAUGUCCCUCCCCUUAAGAGAAACCGAUCUGGGACGCCGGUAGCUUUAGUACCGCGAGAGGCCAUGUUUCCCACUACAACUCUGUCGACUUCUUCUCCGAUAGGCGCAACCCCGAGCUUACCUCCAGUUUUACCCCAAGUUUCUGUGACAGCCUAGGUCUCUCCUACUUCUCAGUCUGUGCAUACUACACCAUCCAGCUUAGCUUGCCUGCAGGACAAGUGUCCUAAUCUUCAGAGGCCAAGUUUGGAUGGCCUUAUGGGUCGGCGGCCUGAGAUCUUGCUGGACUAUCUCCGGGCUCUCUCCCCAUCGAGGGAGUCCAUGGCUGUUCUCCCUCCUCCACUAAGGGAAUUAACCAACCUUCUUACGAGGAGUUGGGUUGAUCGGGAGCAGAACUAUCUCACAGAGAUGCCUAUUGGGGAAGCGAUAGUUACUGCUCAGCUCCAUUCUCAUCGCUCUGUGUUAUAUAUGAUGGCAGUGGUAGAAAGGUAGUAUUUUUUACUUCUUCUAUGCUUAGAAAGUUGUCUUUAUCUUUUACUAGCCUUAACUCACCUCUUUCUCCGCUGUUAGGUUAAGGCCAAAUUGGGCAAACUUUUGUAGACCAAGGAUCAAGCCCUGAAUCUUUAUAACAGCAUGGAGGCGGAGCGAGCUCAGUUCGCAGCAAAAGAGAGGAAAUAUGAAGACAAGCUCAACAAGAUGGGCGAUGAGUUGAAUGCGAGGCUAACCUCAAAACAGAAGCUUGAAGAGGAGGUUGAGGCUCUAAAGAUCUGGGGAGACAGAGCCAACCAGAGGGCUGAGGUGAAAAAGAAAAAAGCUGAAGAGGAGAGAGCUCGGGCGGAAAAGCUGAGGGCGAAAGUGACCGAGGAGCGUUCUCACACUGUGGAGGCCAUGAAGAAGGUGGAGGAGGCCAAUGCAAGGGCACAUGAGGCAAUAAAGAGGGUAGAAGAGGCUGAGGCUAAGGCCAUCAGGGCUGUGGAGAUUUGGAGGAAAUCUCCAGAGUUCGAUGCUUUGGCCCAGGACGCCUAUGUAGUGGCCUUAGAGGAAUUGGUUAAAUACAUCUAAAGGGAGAGGCCAGAAUUCGAUGCUACCUUUUUGGACGAAGCACUGAACGAGCAGAGGGAGGAGCUGCAAAAAUUAUCUGAGGCUGCUGAAGUCUGGAUAUCAUUUGCUGACUAAGAUGUUGAGGGUAGCAUCCCAGUCCCCCAAGACCCCUAAGAGAUUUUUGUUUUGGAAACAUUGUUUGGUAUUUUGUGAUGUGAUUUGACUAUCCGUAGUAUAUUGUGAACUUUGUUUUAAUGUUUCAUGACGUUUUGUUUGGAAUGGAUGAUCGUUUAUGCUUAGCAUGAUUUCUUUAGCAGCGAUCUUGUUUUUAUGCGACAAUACCUCACAAACUUAGCUAAAUUUGUAUAAGUGUUAUAGUAGCAAGUGGAAUUGAUUCGGAUGAAUUUUACCUAGGUGUUGCAGCACUUGCCUUCCUAACGAGACCUAUGCAUGGGGCAUUUCCACUAAGUGUUGCAGCACAUACGACCUUAGCUUGGCCUGUACCUGGGGCAGGGCUUUUGAGAAUUCCUAAGGAGGAAUUUUCACUAAGUGUUGUAGCAUGUACGACCUUAGCUCGGCCUGCGUAUGGAGCUGGGCUUUGUAGAAUUCCUUAGGGAGAAUUUUUACUAAGUGUCGUAGCAUGUACGACCUUAGCUCGGCCAGUGUAUGGAGCAGGGCUUUGUAAGAUUCCUUAAGAGGAAUUUCCACUAAGUGUCGCAGCACAUAUGACCUUAGAUCGGCCUGCUUAAAGAGCAGGGCUUUGUAAGAUUUCUUAAGAGGAAUUUCCACUAAGUGACGUAGCAUAUACGACCUUAGAUCGGCCUGUGUAAGGAGCAAGACUUUGUAAGAUUCCUUAGGAGGAAUUUUCACUAAGUGUCGCAGCACAUACGACCUUAGAUCGGCCUGCGUAAGGAGCAGGGUUUUGUAAGAUUUUUUAGGAGAAAUUCGCAGCACAUACGACCUUAGAUCAGCUUGCAUAAGGAGUAGAGCUUUGUAAGAUUCUGACAGAAUGUUGAAUAAAAUGUUCAAAAAUAGGAAGUCUCUUUUUGUUAUGUGAUUAACAUUACAAGAGGGCUUUAUAUGUCAUGAACUUUUCCCAUUCACUGAUAGUACUACUUAAGGUGUCGACAUUCCAAGGAUGGGAUAAGGGUCUACCCCCCAAGUCUUCCAGUUCAUAUGCCCCUUUUUAGCACGACCUUCGUUAUCAGAUAGGGACCUUCCCAGUUCGGACCGAAGCAUCCACUGCCGACCUCUCUUGUGGGGAGGAAUACCUUCCGUAAGAUGAGGGAUUCUACCUCAAAUUCUCUUUUUUGCACUUUUUGAUUGUAAUACUUGGCGUUUCGCUGUUUGUAAAUGGUAUUUUUGAGUUCGACAUUGUUCCUUUUCUCCUCGGCUAGGUCGAGUUCUGUAUGAAGAGUUAUGUGGUUCAUUUCUUUGUUGUAAUCAGUUAUGCGUAGCGAGAGAAUGUUGACUUCUAGUGAGAUCACAACCUCUACACCGAAAGCCAGUGAGAACGGUGUUUUUCCUGUGCUAGCCCUUAUAGUGGUGCGAUAUGACUAUAGCACAUUGGGAAGUUCUUCAUCCCAUCCUCCUUUAAACAAGUCAAGUUUUACUUUCAAUGUGUGCUUAAUAAUUUUUUUAAUGGCUUCGACUUGGCCGUUUGCCUGUGGAUGGUUCGACGUUCAGAAAUGUUUCUUGAUGCCGAACUCUUCACAAAAAUUUGAAAGUCGUGCGUUGUCGAACUAUUUUCCAUUGUCCGUAACAAUGGAGUGAGGUAUGCCGAACCUACAGAUGAUUGAUUUCCACAAAAAGUUGGUUGUUUUUUGUUUGGUGAUCUUGGCAAAUGGCUCUGCCUCGGCCUAUUUAGUGAAGUAAUCCACUGCGACGAUGGAGAAUUUCACACCUCUUUUUCCAAUGGGCAUAGGUCUAAUUAGGUCGGUCCCCCAUUUUGCAAAGGGUCAAGGUGCUAUUACCGAGUUCAGUUCGCGCGGUGGAUUAUUUAUGAUGGGGGCGAGGCGCUGGCACUUGUCGCAUCUUUUGACAAAUUCAAGGGAAUCACGUCUUAUUGCAGGUCAAAAGUAUCAUUGUCGCAUGAUCUUGUGGACUAGUGAGAGCCCACCGAAAUGGUUUCCACAUAUUCCUUCGUGAACGUCUUACAGGCUGUGUUGAGCUUCUUCUUUGUUUCAAACACCUUAACAAGGGCGUAGAAUAUCUCUGUUUGUAUAGUACAUUGUCAAUGAGUGUGUACCUGACCGACCUAAUUCGGAGCUUUCUAGCCUCUGCAGAGUUUUCGGGACAUUUUCCUAUUUUUAGGUAGGUGAUGAUCUCGUCCUGCCAAGUUGGUUUGGGGUUUAUCAUCAGAAAGACCACUUCGGCCAGCUCGGUGGACGGUAGGGAUAUUCUUCCCAUGGGGAUGCUAUCAAAUUCUUCGAUUCCCUUACUAGUGGCUAGGCGGGCCAGUGCGUUGACAUGACCAUUUUGAGAUCGGGGAAUCUGUUUGACUUGGAUGGCGUUAAACCUUUCAAGUUCUUUCCUUACAAUCCGUAGGUAAUUGUCCAUUCUUUCUUCUUUCGCCAGAUAUACACCGUUCACCUCAUUCACGACUAGUUGUGAGUUGCUAUGUAUGAUUAGGUCGGAGAUCCCCAACCCUGAGGCCAUCCUUAUUCUGAUAAUGAGAGCUUCGUACUCGGCCUUAUUGUUUGAAGCUUUAAAGUCAAAUGGUAAGGCUUCGCAGAAUAUGUGUUGUUCAGGGCUGAUUAAUACUACGUCAGCCCCAGAUCUUUCUCCAGUGGAUGAACCAUUGACAUAAAAUUCCCAUGGGAUUUCUUUCAGUAGUUCCUCGAUUGGAACAUUGCAGAACUCAGAGACAAAGUCGACGAGUGCUUGGCCCUUGAUGGAGGAACGAGUUGUGUAUUUGAUGUCGAAUUGUGCGAGCUUGACUGCCAAUUUUACCAUCCGACCUGAAGUGUCGAGUCUUUACAGUGUUUGUCUCAAUGUAGAAUUGGUGAGGACCUCAAUGGGGUGUUCAAAGAAAUAUGACCUUAAUUUUAACGCUGCCAUCAGCAGGGUGAAUGCCAGCUUCUCUACAGGUGAAUAUCUGAGAUCGACUUCAUGAAGCGCUUUGCUUAUGUAAUAGACUACGUAUUGAAGGCUGUUUUCUUCUCGGAUCAGAACUGUACUGAUGGCAUGUUCUGAAAUAGAUAAAUAUAGCUUCAGGACCUCGCCUGCCUUAGGUUUUGAAAACAACGGAGGCUGAGCUAGUUGUCUCUUUAACUCGUUAAAGGCGUCCUAGCAUUCUUUGAUCCAUUCAAACUUCUUUCCUCCUCAUAAUGUGUCAAAGAAGGGCUUGCAUCGGUUCGUAGACUUAGAGACGAACCGGCUGAGGGCGGCAAUCCUUCUAGUUAAACUUUGUACCUCUCUGGGUCUGGUUGGAGGCUUCAUUUGAUAACAACUUGUAUUUUUCAGGAUUUGCCUUGAUUCCUCGAUUUUUUACAAUGUAACCUAGGAAACUUCUAGAGCUGACCCCGAAAGCACAUUUCCUUGGGUUCAACUUCAUUCCAUACUUUCUCAGAAUAUCAAACAUCUCGGAUAGGUGUCGACAGUGGUCCUUGGCCUUGAUGCUUUUGACCAGCAUAUCAUCAACAUACACUUCCAUUGUUUUUCCGAUCUGUUGGGAAAACAUGGAAUUCAAAAUUCAUUGGUAGGUGGCACCAGCGUUUUUGAGACCAAAUGGCAUUACUCUGUAGUAGUAAAGACCUCAGUCAGUUACAGAUGAGGUAUGUUCUUAAUCUGGGCCGUACAUCGGUAUUUGGUUAUAUUCGGAGUACGCGUCCAUGAACCUGAAUAGUUCAUGUCCGGCAGUGGCGUCCACCAUUUGAUCUAUUCGUGAUAAAGAAAAACUAUCUUUGGGGCAUGCUUUGUUGAGAUCGGUGAAGUCUAUGCAUACCCUCCAAUCUUUAUUGUGUUUUUUCACAAGGACCGAAUUUGUGACCCACUUCGGAUAUUUUGCCUCACGGAGGAAACCGUUGUGCAACAGCUUUUACACCUCCUUGUUGAGUGCUUCAUAUCUUUCAGGGUUUAGAAGUCGUCAUUUUUGCUGCUCCAGCAGAACUGAGGGAUCCACCUAUAAUUUAUGGUAGGCAAUAUUGGGAACUGUUCCUCUCAUGUCCCUAUGAUUCCAGACGAAGACAUCAAAGUUUUCUCUAAGGAAGGCCACAAAUUCACUUUGGGUGGAGGGCUGCAGCUCACACCCGACUUUGAGCUCUUUUGAUGGAUCGUCAGCACAAACUUGAACUCCUUCUAGUUCUUCGACGGGUUCUCCACCUUCGAUCUUGGUCCAUGGGUCUAGUGGAAUGAGUUCAAAUUUCCAUAUUUUCCAUAUGUGCAUCCUGGAGGGUGCGUUGAUGGCUGGUGCAAGAUUUCCAUUGACAUCUUUCGACGAGCUUCUUGUUUCCUUUGACUUCACCCACACCAUGGGGUGUGGGGAAUUUGAUUGAAUAGUGAUACAGGGACAUGCUGCUCUCAGGUUGAAUAGUAGGGGUUGUCCCAUUACAACAUCAUAAGGCAAUGUAGUGUCGAAUACUACAAACUCGGAGUUCGUCUUAACCUGUCGGGGUGCUGAUCCUGACUCGACUUUGAGUUUGAUUGAUCCUUUGGUAGAAGUCAGGGCUCCGCUUAAUCCUAGGAUGAUAUUUGGGUAUGGUUGAAGGAUGUUAGCAGGGAUACCCAUCCAUUUAAGGGUAUUGCUGAAUAGGAUGUUUAGAGCACUCCCUAUAUCCACCAAGACUUUGGGGAUGGUUACCUCGGCUACAGGCAAUGAGAUUACCAGAACUUCGGGGUAAGGAUGUGGGUCCGCCGUCUUUUCGUCUGAGGACAAUUGCUCAUCUAUGGCUUUUUUGAGGUGCUUCUCAGUUAUGCCGAUCUUCGAGAGAUCCGCAACGAUUGGUCUCUUCAAUCUGGCUUCCUCGACUUGCGUGUUCACCCUGCCCCAUAGCAUGUUGACUUGUGACUUUGGCAAGUCGACAUUGCAGGCCCUUGCUCCAGCUUGAUCUCCUCGGAUAAUUGCUGUCCCGUAAGGAGUGGAAAAUUCCAUGCAAUAAUGAUAAAUUUAUGUGGCAGCUUUUAGCUCGUGUAAAAUGGGUCGUCCCAAUAUUGCGUUAUAAUUGGAUGGCAAAUCGACCACCACGAAAUCUGCUAGGAUCAUUCUUUGGCGAGGAGCUUUGCCCAGCUCUACAAUAAGGACAAUCUGACCUCAGGCUUCAAUAGGAUUCCUAGAGAAUCCCUAUAGUUUCCUUGAGUACGGUUGGAGGUAGUGUUCUGAUAUUUUCAAUUGCCUCAAAGUUCGUGAGUACAGUAUGUUGACCAAACUUUCAUUGUUUACCAAAGUUCGGUGGACUUUUACUCUGACAACUGGCAUUGUGACCACUAGGUCGUCACUCUGGUCUUGGAGGAUUCCUUUAGAAUCUUCUUCCGUGAACCAGAACCAUUCGAGGUCUAUACCGAUCUGUGGGGUUUGAUCUCAGUAGUUUAGCAUGGUUCUUUCACUUCGGGCUUGUCUUCGUCUCGCCCUUCUGGAUCCCUCAAUAUGCUGAUUUCCUCCCACCAUCAUUUUGAUUUCAACACGUGAGGAUGGAUUAUGGUUAGGGACUGCCUGCUGAGCUCGUGUGGGAAGCCCUUACAACAGUGGCUGCUGCAUCGUAGGUCAAUCUACUUCUUUUGGCCUGGCAACAAACUCCUGUAACCGACCUCUUCGAAUUAUGGACUCAACUUCCUCUUUUAAUUCUAGAUAGUUAUCAGUGUCAUGGCCCACCAUCCUGUGAUAUCGAUAGUAUCGUCCCUGAUGGUGUCAUGUAUGUCCCUCCUGCAGGAUCAUAAGUCUGCGAAAUGCCUCUUUUUCAUUAGCUUGCGUGAAUACUUCUUCCAAGGAGGCUUUGAGUGGGUGGUACUCCAAGAUUUGUAUGGCUGAGCCUUAGAACGUUCUCUCUCUCCUGUCCUUCUUUCUUUUGGGCCGAGGACUGCAACUUGGUUCUUUCUCCUUCACCGUAUUACUGAGGUCAAGUUCGCAUCUGGCUUUCUCUUGGUCAGAGGUUGCUUCUUCAGCACUUAUGUAUUUCUUCGCUCAGUUCAGGAACUUGUGAUAAGUUCUUAGGUCGUCCUUGUGCACUGACCACUAGAAUCUUGUUUUGGGCCUUAGUCCUGCUAAUACGGCCAUGAGUGUCGCAUCGUCGGAUAUUUUUUCUAUUUCCAUGGAUUGCUUGUUGAAUCUGCUCAGAUAGCUUUUGAGGGAUUCACUUCUUCCCUGUUUGAUUCUUACUAGUCAUUCUUUGGGCAUAGUUCUAGCCUUGGAACCCAUGAACUGGGCCAAGAAUGUCAUGGCUAGAUCAUUCAAAUUUUUUACCAAACUCCGGUGCAGUCUCCUAAACCAUCUCUGAGAUUUGUCUCCCAGAGUUAGGGAGAAUGCUUGGCACAUAAUUGUGUUGUUUGCACCCUGUGGUUCCAUCCACGAGGUGUAUAUGUCAAGGUGGUUGAAGGGAUCACCAUCCCCUUCGUAUGCGGCCAUCUGGGAAAUUUUCUGUUUUUCAGGUAAUGGUUCCAUAAGGACAUCCUCAGUGUAGGGGGAAUGUCGUUUGGUUAAAUAAUUUUCAGUGCCACCUUUGUUUUUAGCCUCCAGGUCAGCGAUGCGUCUUUUCAGGGCACUCAGCUCGGGUUCUAUUUAUUCCAAAGGACGUUUGAGGUCGAUUUGUCCUCGCUUAGGGGUUAGCGAGUGCUGGGUCCCCAAUCUGUCAAACACACUGCCAGUCCUCCUCGCCCCUGGUUCCUUACUUCUGACCUCGUCAGUUCGGCUUCUUGAGGAUUCUCCUCUUAAAAAGUGGAGAGUCCUCCUGGUAGGAAGACGCCUUGUCUUUGUCUUUACAGGGGAUUCCACCUCGGUAUAUAGUAGGGACAAGUGGGCUUGACUUUGUUCCAAUUGUCCCACUGCAUUUGUCAGUUUUUCCAAGGCUUCCCUCCUGGCGGUCAUCUGAGGGUCUUGUCGUUGUGGAGAACUUGGUGGAGUAUUCGUUUCAUGAGGAUGGGUGUGAGAUGGGUUUCAAAAACUUGAUCUAUGACUCAUGGCUCUCGGAUUUUGUGGAGAGAAUGAGACUAUUUUUCACAAUUGGGGCCCUCUUUCUAGCGCAAACUGUUGACGUCAAAAUUAGCAAGCUAAUCUUAAGCCAACUUUAAGAAAAAAAAGGGGGGGAUUUAUUGUUGAAAAAGACCACAAAAUAUGUUGAGAAAGUGUAAUUGUGCUAUGAGUUGUUAUAUGAAUUCACUUGCCGUUUACAAGAGUCCUAUUCAACUAUUUAUACAUAGUUUCAGCCGAAAUUACAUCAAAUCAACUACAGUACCGAGCUCAGAACUCGAGUCGUCAAAUUCUCUUGUGAUUGGUUGACAAGGCUGGUGGCCAUGUGUCAAUGUUUUCCCCAGGUAAUGAUGACUUGCAAGAAGUUUCAGAUUUAGGACUUAGGACUGGCAGUUUUGGGCGGUGUGUAUGCAAUUGAUGGGGUGAUGUGAUAGGGGGUAAUCAUGAUAUUUUUCUGAGAUAACGGCGGGACUGUCCGACCUGAGAGCAUGGACCGAACUCACAUUUGUUUGAGGUGGGGUCAGCGAACUGUUUUAACUUAGAUCGGAGUUCGGUUGUCAACACUGAUUAAUAAACAUUGUGAAAAAUUUAACUUUCUGCAACAUUUCCUAAGGCCCCACUUGUUACUCAUUUCUUUUAAAAUACAUUUUUCUCUUUUUUCUUUUCAACAACACAUUCUUCAUUAAAAUAAUAUUACAUGUAAAUAAAAAAACUUUUCCUUAUUUUUCAACUCCACAUUUUCCAUCAAUUUACUAUUCCAAUAUGCAUUUUUACAUAAAAAUGGUUCCCAAACACCCUCUAAAUGUUGUGAAAAGUUUCUCUCUUUGCAUCGUUUAAUGAACGUUGUUUAAUUUUCUACAACGUUCAAUAAAGAAACUUUUUGCAACGUUUAUAAAUGUUGUUAAAAACAAUAUAUCUAAGUAUCCACAAGUCACUCAACGUUGUAGAAAAUAAACAUUGUAAAAAGGAAACAUUAGCAAAUUUCUUUUAAAAAAUAUUGCCAAAUCUCAAUUGUUUACCAAUGGCAACAUUCACUUACAUUUUUGUUGCAAUAUACACAUUUAGCAUCAUUCAAAUAACAAAUGUUACAUUUUUAUGUGUUGCAAAAUGCUUUUUUUAUAUUGUAGUGAAAAAUUAAGUCCCAUUCAUUUGUAAUCAUCAUAGCCCUAUCAUUCUUAUUAACGAGUUCCAUCAAUUAAGGCGGGUGGAAAUUACACCCAUAUAUGAAUUUCUACUAUCAACUUCAAAAAUUAGGUUUCAAAUUUAUUUAUUCAAAAAUCAAUUCAUUAUUCACUUUUUUUUAUAAUAAUAAUAAUAUUAUUAAAUUUUCUCUCUGUCCUCUCUUUUCUUUCUCUAUCAUCUCCUUUUUCUCUAAAUCAUACACGCCAAAAUCCCAAUUCCUAAUAUUACAAAGCACGCGUGAAGUUCUCCUCUUCUUCCUUCUCUUCUCCAACUUUGGUCGCUGCUCGUUGUCUUCCAUCUCUUCUACGACAUUAGCUACACAUAGUGAUUGUCAUUAGUGCGUGCAGCGACGCUUGACUUUAGGGUGGUUUUGAGGUCUUUGGAUAGUUUCUUUCUCCUUCGAUCUAUUUAGCAGGGUGAUUUUGUUCGUAGUUUGAAAAUUGUGGUGGUUGUUUUGUAGUUGCAAAGGGUGGUUUCUAUUUGUUGGAGGCGGUGACGAUGUGGUAAAAGUGGUGGUGGUAGUGGUAGUGGUGUGGCGUGGCUGUGGGGUAGGAUGGUGAAGAGCGUUUAAAACCAAUUAUUUAAGUGAUUGUGACAAAUAAAAUAAUUAAUUUGUGUUCAAUAAAUAAUAUAUGAUCGAUAAAAUGGGUAAUUUGUUAUCAAUAAAUAAUAUUUGACAUAAAAAAUGUUAUUGCGAUUAACUUUGUAAUAGAUUAUACAAUUUAUUUCUUUGUGACUGUGAGCUUAUGCAAUUUGUGACUAUCACUAUAAAUGUGUGACAUUUGUGAUCAAGAAAUAAUGCAUAACCAAUUAAUUUAAUAAUUUGUGAUCGAUAAACAAAUUGUGACAUAUAAAAUUUAUAUUUUGUGAUUGAUGUUUGAUGAUUGUAAUUAGUACGUAACUGUGAUUAUAAAUUGUAUAAUAUUGUGACAUUAAUAUAUUUAAAUAAUAAAAUAUUUUUCAUUAACUAUCUAAUUAAUAAAAUUUAAUUAUUAUCCAAAAUUUGAAAUUUUAAGACAAAUUUCUUAAUUUUGAAAUUGAAUUUUUCAAACACCUUAAAUAUGUACGGUUCCCUUAAUACCCAUUAAAAAAUUGUCCAUCAUCAUAAACCUAGCACUCCCCAUUAGUUAGUUAUUUCAUAUGUUGCACUGUUUUAUUUUGUUGUGUAGCUAAACAUGGAAGAAAGAACAAGACAGGACAAUGUUUUUUAACUAAUUUGACCACAUUUGAAUGCAAAAGGCAAAUUUUAUUGCAUUGAAUUAGCAAGAAAUUGUUUUUACAAACAAGAAUGUGAUUUGCAAAACAAAAUAAUUAGUCAACAAAAAUGGAAAUAUAAAAUUGAGGUAAUUUUUACACCAUCAAGUGCAAUUCCAAUGAUAAUACAUGUCACAAGUGAGUGGGUAUUCCCACAUUUAAAAUGGAUAUUUUUAAAAAGGAUAAUUGCAGCAACAAUUUCAAAUUUUUGAAAUACUAGCAGACUUUUUUCAAACAUUUGAUUUAUUAUAACCAUCAUUCUUAACCUUUCCAAACAUUAUAGAGUAGGACAUUUUGGAUGGUUUCCAUCCAAACAUCCGUUAGUUGACCACCAAAAAAAAAUUGACAAAUUUUUACCAAAAUAGGGGAGGGUAAAUUCGUCCAUACACUUAAAAUACUAACCUCCAAAUAAGUUACUGUUUAUGUCCCUCCAAAUAUAGUAGAGUGCUACCCUAAUAAAUUGUCAUUUUCUCACUCUUUUUCAGCAUUCUAAAUUGAAGGUAGAGGAAACGGAGAUACCAGUUUGCAGUUGCAGAACCCUUGCUCAGAUAAAGACAUCAUGGACUAGUUUGAACCCAGGCACACGAUUUCUUACCUGUCGAUGCGGAAUGGAUUUGUGAGGUAGUAUAUUCUUUUUUUUGGUGGGAUCCCGCAAUGUGUCAGAGAUCAAGAAAGCUGAUACCUGAUCUUCUACUAUUAAGGUGAGAUAUAGAAGCUGAAAUUAGGCAACUUUGUUGAAUGGAGGUGGUGUAUGGAAGAUUUGGUUUUGUGGGUUUGUCUAUGGAAUGAUAGUAAAGUGUAUCUAUAGUUAAAUCUUUAUUAGGUUUUGGGGUUUUGUUGCUUGAUCUGUAAUCUUUCUUUUGCAAUAGUGUAACCUAAGUUAAUGGGUGUAAAAUGCCGUUGUAAUUGCUGUAGUGUUCUCUAUACAUGUUCAAUAUUCUUGUUUUUUGCAACUAAUUUUUGUAGAAAUAUACAUGUGUUGAGCCUCAAACGUUAAGUAAAUGGUACAGUGAAAACUUCAAACUUUUUGUCCGUGAUGAGUAAAAGGUCCCUAAUGUUUUUAAAAUAGCAUAAAAGCCCCAUACCUAUUAAACUGCUUGCAGAAAACUCCCCAUCACUUUAACAAUAGUUUCCAUUACAGAUGUACCUUAAAGCAUGUAUAUAUGGCUGUCACACUUAAAAUUAUGAAGUCCAAUAUAUCACAUAACAAAUAAAUAGUAAACUCAAAAUGAAGAGUAUUUUUACACUUAUAUAUACCGAUACUACAAUUCCCAAAACAUGAAAUGCCAAUAUUACAAAUUCAAAAACAUCAAUUACGUUCCAAGUUCAUUUUUCAUAUGCACAAGUUCAACUUCCAACGACAUCAAGACUAGACUGCUUUGGACUUCAUCUUUUUUGGGUUAUUUACUGUUGAGGUGGCUGCACCUCUCUUUCCCUUCUACUUCCGUGUCUGUGGUGCUUCGAAAUGCCGCAUAUGUGCAGUGCAUGUUCAUUUAUUGUGUCUAGCUUCUCAACGUCUCUUACAUGCCAUUUUCAUGCCUAUUCUUGUCAUUUUAACUCUAGCUAGUGGUUCAGUCUGAGAAGUUUCCAUAGGUUUUUAGGUCUACCUGCCUGCUUCUUUUUCACUAGUAACUUCAAUGGAUUUUUUUCGAAUUCAGGCCAAAGUUCAUGAUCUGACAUUGUAUAAAUUACAGAAUUGUAUGCUCUCUGAUAUAUCUCCUUCUUGUAACAUUUAUCUACAAAUUCAUCUAUUUUUAUUCUCCUUGAUGGCAUACCAGAAAGGGCAUGUGCAUAGGGAAUUCUACUCAGUUGUCAUUUCCUACAUAGAUAUCCUUUCUUCAACAAACCCACACUCCACCUCAAACCAUCAGAGUUGCAAACUUCAGAUUUUUUUAUCGCCUGCAUAACAUGCCCUCAUGAACUUGGUAUCAGAUGUAGCUUUCUCAAUCAUCCCUACAAUUUUUGGAUCAUAUGCAUGAUCCAACCUUUAAACUGUCUCCCUCUUUACAUUCAUUCAUGUCAUUUGUUGAUGUCUAAUCGUAUCUGACAUUGUGAUUAUAUGCCCUCACUACAACAGGGGUAUUGAAGGCUUCAUAGUGGUUACUAAACAAGAUAUCACACUUAGCAUGUUCUUGAAAAUGAGAUCUUGUCCGUUGAGCUGUUGACUUCUCAUUAAACCAAUUAAAGGCUUCUUCAUUCACUGUCUUCAUCUCAUUCAUAACUGCAUUUCAUUCUGUUACAAUAUUAGACUUGGUUGCAGCCCAAAACAAAUUCUUUAAAGUUAGGCCUUUACGUUUGAGAGUAAAAUUGCUAUACAAAAGUCUAGCACGGUACCUUUGCUUUGCACCUUCACAACACUGAUUCAGGGCUUCAACCAAACAUUUUUGCUUAUCAAAUAUAAAAGUCCAAGUUCAUUCACAGUUGCUUACUAUAAAAUUGAUAAUUGGAUAUUUCAUACAUACAGUCUCCCUUCACAAUUUUCAUGAAACUACAUAUAGACAAAUUAGGAUUCAACCUGAACUUAUGCAGGUAUUUCAUGGCCAGGAAUCCUGCAUGGACCUUACUGUUUUGCCAAACCAAUGUGCAGCUAUGUUCAUCUCUGAAAGUGUUAAUUAUUAAACUGUUGUCUAUUUGUCCGUAUGCAUAUCAUUGCCAGGGACAAUUCUCUUGACAUCUUACUAUUAUCCUAUGUGGUUCGUUCUUUACAUAUCUAAGUUCUCUUCCAUUCUUUAUGUGAUAUUACAAAAUAGUUUAUCUCAAAGUUUUUAUAUUCUCAAACUUUAUACAUGUAAAACAUACGAGAACCUUUUUAAAUAUAUCAUUAAAAAUGCAUAACAGCACUAAACCUAUUAAAAAUAAGCACGGAAGGCCCCAAACAUAUUUCGGAACUUUGUUCAUAGGUCAUUUUAAACAGUUUGCAAUUCACUUACCAGUCUUGAAUUUAGGGUCAUCCAUGUCAGUUGCAAUGUUGAACCAAACUUCAUUUGUGAAACCCGCUUUAUCUCCACUAGACAUGCUUCUUAAGUCAUUUGAGUCCCCGUAGUUUGUACCAAUGUUUUCUGCAUUUUCAAUCUGCUCAGGAGGUUGGUCAUUACCUACAUUCCUCACUCCUAAAUCAAAUCCCUCACUAAAUCUAAAAUAUGUGCCUUCAUCUUGGUUAUCCUCUACAAUAUUUACCUAUUCGUAUUCAUAAUUUGAAAAAUGUUCUAGACCACUCUUAUUAUCCUCUUCCAUUUCUGACUUACCACCAUAAGACCUAGUGCCAAUAUUCUGAGCUUUAAUAUCUUUUACAACAUAAGGUUCAAUAGGUGUAUAAGAAAGCCCAGCAUUUUCAACAUCGUCUCUCCAGUAUCACAAUCAAAUAUGGGUGGCUCAUCAAAGGUUGUACCUUGCUUAUCAACUCUGAGAUGCUCAAACUGUGUAUUUCCAAGAUCUUCUACUCCUGUUGCACCCUCAAAUGUGGAUGAUUCAUCAAAGGUUGCACUCUCAAAUGUUGAUGGUUCAGCAAAACCAGCCCUUUCAUUGUCAAUUGUUGGAUGCUCAAACUGUGUAUCUCGAGCGUGUUCUACUCUUGCUACAUUUUCAAAGGAACAUGGUAGAUCAGAGGUCGACUUCUCAUAUGUUCACUCUACAAGUUGAUCAUUCGCACUUACCUCCGCCUUGACUACAUCCACAUUGUCAAAUACACCAAGUCCACUGUUAUCCACACCAUCAUAUUUAUGCAGAUGAUCCCCUUCAAAUUCAUCAACCACAUAAAGAUCAUUACCAUCUACCGUGUCAUCAAAAACCUCAACUACAAAUAAGGUUUCUAUCCGACCUCCAUAUCUUCAUUGUUGAUACUAACACUCUCUAGUAUCUCAUCAGUUUUCAAACUAAAACUUUAGUUCGUACAUUCUCAUCAUGUAGUAAAUCUAGUACUUCUAUCGGUUUCGACGAACAAUACAUAUCUACAACUCUUGUGGGACUAAGCCAUUUCACAACAUUCAUGAACUAUGCAUCAGUAACUAACCAAUAUGACUCUUCACUCAAUCUUUUCUUUUCAAGGCUAUGCACAUAUCUCAUUAGAUCACCAUAAUCUACCCUGAUCAUUGUAUUGUCUACAAGAUAUGGAUUAAAGAAAUCUGGAUCCAGGUAAUCAAGAUAGCUAAUCUUACCUGUUUAUAAUGUAAUUUUGCAUCUGGCAAAAAAGAAUCCCACCAUGGUUCUGCCGGAUUGUGAAAUAAAUGGAGCUAUUUCCUGAAAAGGGAAAAAAUUAUGCAAGUCCAAUGAAAACAAAUAUGGUUAUCAUAAUAGACGUCCCUACAUACCCAUUACAACAUUUUGUCCAUACAGUACAUUGCAUGCAAAUUUUGAAAACCCUACCUAUUUCAUUCUCCACAAAAAUGAAAUCAUAAAAUCGAUUUAAUGCAGUGGGUUAUUGUACUUCUUCAUAACAAUCCCAACGUUCAAAGUAUAUGGGUCUCUCACAAAGAGUAAGUUUUGUACAAUUUUACUCUUAAACUGUAACUGGCAACAACGACACUUAUAAAAACAUACCAUAAAUGGGUUCGGAUAGUGAUCCUCUCAAAUGGCAUGCACAUUGGACAUCUCCAUUUUCAAGUUCUUCGACUUCAAGAGAGUUCAUUAUCGAUAAUUUUUUGAAAAUAUUUGUUCUCUUCUUUGUAAGGAUCAUCCCUGAGUUUUCCAAAAUUUUGAUGUAAAGUUGUCCCUCCUCUAUUUUGAUAAAAAGUGGUCAAUCUUUUUUUGGAUGGUCAACUGACAAAUGUUUGGAUGGAAAUUGUUCAAAAGGGCCUCCUCUACAACGUUUGAAAAGAUUAAGAGUGAAAACUGCAACAAAUUAAAAGUUUGGAAAAAAUCUGCUAUUAUUUUAAAGGUUUGGGGCUUUUGCUACAAUUAUCCCUUUAUAAAAUCACACUUUCUUUAGUGAUCAAUGUUGAACUUUUUAUGAUGGUUAAGUAGUAGUGGUGGAAUAAAAUCAUCAUGGAUAGUAGUUUAGUCAUUGAAACGUGUUUUGAAAAAGCAUAGUAAAAUUUAAAAAACAAAAACUCUGCACAGCCAAGAAAUAGCCACCAAUGACGGAAUAUGGAAAUAAACUGUAGGUUGGGGAUUGAAAAGUCGGCUUUUAAAUGUUAGGGAUGAAUUUGUCAGAGGUUUUAAAGACUAAAUACUAACUUUACCAUUUUUUUUUUUACAGAAAAAAUAAAAAAAAUUAAACGUAGUUUCAAGGAUUCAAACUCAAUCUUCAAUGCCAAAACAAAAAUAUUUUUAUCACUAGGUUGGGACAACUUUAUCAUCAAUAAUCCAAAACUUUAAAUUUUAUUUUGCAGGUUCAAAAAGUAUAUUAAAAAAAGAGAAAAUUGGGGUUAAGGGUUCAGGGACCCCCAAGGUCCCAACUGGCUUCGUCCUUGUCCCCAUAACCUCACCUACAAUACCAUCAUCGCAGUAGAGUUUAAUGACCAAGUGUGAGAUGGACGGAAUAUGAAAGUAGAACUAAAGGUUGGGGGAUUGAAAAGUCGAAUUUUAAAUGCAGGGACAAAUUUGCUACUAGGAACUGACUGCACCAAUUUUUUAAAGGAAAAUAGAAAAAAGAUUGAAACCCAAUUUCCAAUGCCAAAACAAAAUACGUUCGCUAGGUUGCAGCUAUUUUAUCAUCGAUAAUCUAAAGCUUUAAAUAAUGAUCCUUUUUGGCCCCAUUUUUUCAAAAAUGUAUUUGUCCAAAUCUCAUUUUUAUCCACACAUUCUCCUAUAAAAUAAUCAUACAUAUAUUUUGAAAAAUUCUCUUUACUUUUUAACCAUAUAUUUUUCCAAAAAAAAAAAAAUCACCAUUCAAUAAUACAUUUUACCCCAAAAAGGGGAUCAAACAAGAGAUAAGGAUCAUGGAAUCCCCAAGGUCCCCACUGGCUACAUCUAUGUUCCCAAAGACUCUCCCUGCAAUAUCGUCACGAGUGAAUUUUCCAAAUGGUCACUAAACUUUGUAAAAUGUUUCCAAAGGUUCACUGAACUUUAAAAAUUAUCUAAAUGGUCACUGAAUUUGCAAAAAAUUUCCACUGGGUCGUUGAACUUUAAAAAUCACAUAAAUGGUCACUGAACUUUGCAAAAAGUUUCCACGAAAUCACUGAAUUUUGCAAAAUAUUUUCACGGGGUCAUUAAAUUCAAUGACUCCUGAAAAACAUUUUGUAAAGUUCAGUGAUCAUUUAUAUUAUUUUUAAAAUUCAGUGAUCCCUUAAAAAAUUUUUGCAAAGUUCUGUGACCAUUUAGGUGAUUUUUAAAGUUUAAUAAUCCAUUGAAAACCUUUUGCAAAGUUCAGUGACUAUUUAGACAAUUCACUCAUAUCGUCACCAUAGUAGCAUUUAACAAUCAAGUAUGAGACGGAAAAAUCUUAUAUUGUCCCUCAAAAAGAUUGAGAGGGUGUUUGGUGAUUAUUAAAAUUAGAUUUUUUAGUAUAUUAUGAUAGAAAUUUUGAAAUGUGUCGUUCAAAACUUGUGGGACCAUUGANNNNNNNNNNNNNNNNNNNNNNNNNNNNNNNNNNNNNNNNNNNNNNNNNNNNNNNNNNNNNNNNNNNNNNNNNNNNNNNNNNNNNNNNNNNNNNNNNNNNNNNNNNNNNNNNNNNNNNNNNNNNNNNNNNNNNNNNNNNNNNNNNNNNNNNNNNNNNNNNNNNNNNNNNNNNNNNNNNNNNNNNNNNNNNNNNNNNNNNNNNNAAUUACCUCUAUUAUUUUAAAAAAUUUUAUUAAUCAAAAAAAAAUAGUAUAUAUAUAUAUAUAUAUAUAUAUAUAUAUAUAUAUAUAUAUAACUUUGAUUUAAAUUAAAUUUAGAUUUUAAUUCGUACCAAAUGGAUUCUGAAAACAAAGAAAUUGUUAAAAAAUUUAUAAUUUUAUUUACUGUAAUAGGUAUAAAAUUUUCUAUCUAUGACCAUAAGUUGAUAAAAUUGACCUUGCAUAAAAAUACACAAGUCAAUUAUAAAUGAGAUAAGAAAUUUUUAAAUAAUACGAAAAAUGAGACUAAUAUCCCGUUAUUUUUAAUUUUUCAUGCUCCAGAACUAAAGAUACGUUUGAUUGUGAGCAUGAAAAAAAUAAAUUCUAGACAAUUCAAUUGUCUAUAACUUACUUUUAUGAAAUUUAUUAAUUAAAUUUAUUUGAUUGAUUUAGUUUUCAAUUUAGAAAAUAUUAUAUUUGUUCAUUUUUUAUUGAUAGUUGGAUAAGAGAGAAAAAGAAAGAGUGAACUACUUGAAAAAUAAAAAGCACUCAUUCUUAAAGAAAAUAUUUUUCCUUAUUUUUGAAGAAAAUAUGGUCACAAGACCAAAUGUUGAAAAAUAUUUUUUAUGAAAAAUAUUAUCAAUCAAACAUUCCAAAAAUAGAAAUCUGGAUAAAGAUUGAUGUUUUUUCAUGAAAAAUAAAGUCAACCGAACACGCUCUAAGAAUAUUGAGAAAGUAAAUGAGAAGGAAUUUUUAAAUGAUAUGGAAAAUGAGGCCAAUGUCCACGUAUUUAGAAAUUUUCAGGUUUCAGAAAUCAGAAUAUUAAGGAAACCCCAUGUACUUUGCAGGCACACACCUUAACCAUUCGGCCGAAGUGACGCUUGUUGCUGUAGUUUUAAUGAAAACAAUUUUACUGUUAUAUUUAUACAUUUGACAAAGUAACCAAAAUGCUCAUCAUGUUGUACUACUAAACUCGUUGGGUCCAUAGCAAUCUUACGAGACAACACUGGCAUGUUUGUAUUUAAUUGAUUAAGUUAUCCUUUAUUUAUGUUUAAUAAUAUUGUUCGAUUAAAAAUUUUAAAAAAAAAUUUCAAGGUAUUAUUUGAUGAAAGAAUAAUUAGACCCUCUACUGUAGUUCCACCCCUUAAAAAUUAAAUAUCACAUAAUUGCAAAUUUAUUUUUAAUUGGGUGGUUAAAUUGCCAAAAACAAUUUGUUUUUGUUCCACUACAUUUUAAAUCCACCCCAAUUAAAAUAUAUUUUUGAAUAAAUACAUCAUUUCAAUUUGACUAGUAUAAAACCAUCCAAUUAAAAAUUAUAUACCACCAACAAUUUCACCCACAUUAAAUGCCAUGAAAUGUUGAAUAUACAAACUCACCCAGUGCCCACCAUAGUACAGCAAACCGCGUUUCUGGCUUAUCCCACUCCUCCACCAUUUUUGAAUGUGGCCACACCACCUUCCCCGACGAGUACCCUUUUAUAAAUGUAGCUAGUAAAUGCAUGUGAUGGCUUUUUCCAAUGACUGAUUAGUUGUUAAGACAGGCAAAUUAAUUUGGUCCACAUAGAUAUUAGAGUUGGUGUACAUAGAUAAUCUUGAAGAAGAAUGAUGUUCGUAGCCAACCGUCUCUUGUUAAAGAAAUGAUAGUAUUAAAGGAGAAAGAGAGAGGAAAAUUAUUGGACUUCCCCAUAGUUUGGCAAUAUCUUUCUCCGCGGUUCAAUUACUUUUGCCUUGUCGUACAUCUGAGGGCUUAUAUAAUUAGCAUUUCAUUAAUUUCUAAUAGGAGAACUCCCCAACAAACCAAAAGAAAAAAGAAUAAUGCCACUCUAACGUUGCCCUUGACAUGGGAGCAACAGAAUGACAUGGAUUAUUCAAAAAGAAAUGAAAAAUUCACUUACGAAAUUGUCAACUUUGUGCCCCCACUCUAAGUGAACCCUUGUCCAUUUUUCCCUCAUUUAGGAGCCCAUUUUUUCCACUUUUUUCACUCCAUUUCCACAGUCACACUUCUCCGCCUUUUUUUUAUUUUUAGCGUUUUUCCCUUUACACAGUGACUUCGCGCAGCUGUCGAUUCCGGACAUCUUCGACCUUCGGCCAGCUCUGACACCUAUAUAUUGUUCAAACGAUUUUGCUUCCACCCCGACCUCCGAUUUUACUUCAACUCCGACCUCCGACCACUAUCGCUUUUUGGUUGAAAAGGUAAAAGCUGAAAUUUGUUUUGAUUCUUUGGUUGGUUGAAUGAGUCGAACUCCAUGAAUUUAAUAUAUUUUCAGUCAUUGGUUAAAGUAAUUGAACUCCAUAUUAUAUGAUAAAAUAGAAGCAAACUUAUUGAGUAGCAUACAGGAAGGAAUUUUUUUUUUUUUUAAAUUUUUUGAUGAAUUUGCCUCUAUUAAUACCUCCAGCUUCAUCUAGUACUAGAGAAUAGAUUUUUGGAGGAAUUUUCAUCUUUUAGAAAAAGAACUCAUAAGAAGCUAAGCCAAAUGAGUAAAUGUUAUAAUUGUCUUUAAAAAUAGUUCACCGGAACAGGGCUAUAAAUAACGUUUCAAUCGGGUUUAUGUCAUAGGGAAAGAAAUAACAUUUCAAUCGGAUGAAAUCCAAGUGUAAGUAUUAUGUCCUAGAUCCAAUCAACCUUGGACAUAAAUACUUUUGAUAUAUAAUUAAUGCAAUUUAAUAGCAGAUCUAUUAUUUAAUUAAUAGACAAUUAAAUAAAUAAUAGAGUCCGUAGAUUCAAAUUUUCGUCCUUGUGAUCAAUAGACAAUUAAACAUAUUGGAUGUUGCUCUGCCAAGGGCCGCUAAUAUGACAUUGUUCGGGUAUGUCAAGAAUCGUAUGAAGGUUGUGAAUGACCAAUAAAGAAUUCAUCACUCUUAGAUAGUAGGAGAUUAUGAUCUGCGUUUCAUCAAUUAAGUCGAUAAUGGAAUCAUUGGCCAAUGUGUACUCAUAAAUCGAAAAGGAGUUUUCGACUUAUAUUGACUUAAUAGUUGAGUGAAAGAUAUGGUCAAUAUUCGGGAUCGACACACUUUUAUAUCUCGUAAUUAAUCGGAUCAUAUUAACGAACGGAUUAUAGUUUCACGGUAAACGAACGAGUUUUGUUUUGUCAUACCACAUGACAUUCCUCGUUACAUGUAUUGCCCUAACACAUUGCUAGAUGUCAAUUUGGAACGGCGAGUGUGAAUUUGUGAUAAAUUAAAAUGGUGUUUUAAUUCACUACAACAAAAUUGUGAUUUCACGACAAGUUUUUUUUGCGACAUACGAAAAGCUAUUGCAAUAAGUGAUUUAGCGCGACACAGUUUUAAAGUUUGUCACUAACAUUGUAGUGAAAAAAAAAAGCAUAAAAAUAUAUAAAGCGACAUAAAAGUUUUCGUGAAAUAUAAGAAGUUGCGACAAAUAAUAAAGACCGUUGCCAAAAACAUGAGGGAAGGAAGUCACCAAAAUAUUUUUUGGUGGGAAACUUAGGGCGACAAAUUUUUAUAUCUUGCAACAAAAUGUUUGUGAUGCAAUAGAGUCUACUUUGUGCGACAAGGAAUAUUUGUUGCUAAAAGUUCAAUGGAUGAAGAAAAAAAUCGUUACAAGAAAAUUAUUGUUUUCAACGAACAAAAAAUGUUGCCAUAGGUCUUCAACAAAGUUUACCCGUAUGUUGUGGGCUCUAAUAUUGUCGUAGAGUCGAAGGACACAACAACGUGCAAUGUAUGUUGUAAAAGGCUUCAAAUGCAAGUUGUUAAGUUUUUACGACGUUCUUCAUCCGUUGCUUUUAUUAUAUACAAUGUUCUUUUUUUUCUUUUUCUUUUUUCUCUUUUUUGCAAAUAUUGUGGUGGAAAAUGUUAGUACCUAAAAAUAUAAGGUGACUUAAAAAUUUGUAAUAAUACUUCAAAAUGCAUGAUAAUUAAUAAAGAUUGUCGCGACAAAAAAUUAUCUCCAACAAAAAUUCAAAAACAAAUUAUUAGAUGACAAAACUUUCAAUCACAUAUUAACUUUCAAAAUUGAACUACUAGAUUCAAUAAUCCAUAAAGAAUAAAUGACUCAACACUUAAAGCAAAAAAACAAGAAAAUCAUAUUUCAUAUAUUAUUAGCAGGCGGUGGCCUAUCCAACAUUGUAGCUAGUCUAGAUUGUUGCGAAGACGUACUAACUUGGCUCGAUAUGAACUUAUUGAUUAGUCUCUCAACACUACUGAAAAUAGAGGCAAUAGUGAUAGAAUUUUAUCAAUGAACGACUUUUGUUUUUAUUAAUGAUGAAUAUACAACAAAUUAACAAUGGAUUGUUGUUUUAUUAUGUUUAAAAAAUAUAUAUUAAAUUAUCGAUAGAAUUGUCAAUAGAGGACUCUCGUGUGUAAUAUUCCAUUUCUAAUCCGCCGGUGAAAAGUUUAAAAAUAAGUAAAUAAUAAAUUAAAAUAUUUUCACUAUACAAUUAAUUAUUUAAAUCAUUUAAUAGUAAUAGUUACAAAUUAAAAUAUUUUACCAAUUAAUUAAAUAAGUAUUUAUCGUUAAUUUAAUAAAUUAUAGAAAAUAAAAGUAUAAUUAUAGAAAAUUUUAAAUAAUUAUUUUUCACCUUCAUUUCAUUUCCCACACUCUAAAAAUUAUUGGUAAUGAAUUAAAUUAUUACUAGUUAACUAGAAUUAUUUUUAAUUCAAUCAAUUAAAAAACUAAUCGUAAAUAAAUUGUAAACAAUCAAUUUCCAUUUAAUUUCAUUUCUCCCUUUUAAAUUUUCACUACCCGCCUAAUAUUUUACUUGGCUUUAAAAACUUAAUUUGACACUCAAAAUAUUAUUUUGAAUAUAUCUCAAGCAAUUUUCACUUGUGCUUUUCAUUUUACAGUAAUCAUAUUUCAAAAUCCUAACCUCAAAUUCGUAACUUCACCUCUUCUAACGUAUGUGUGCUGCCUCUAUCUCUCUCUCUGAGCACAUUCAAAGAAAAUGAAACCUCAAAUUUCGAUCUCUAUCAUCGUCGAUAUCAAGCAUAGCCCAUUUCUGGCCCCCAAUUGCACAUCCAUAAUCACUCUCAAGAAAAUGGAAGAAUGGUAAGUAUGAAAUUGUGGAAGAAUUUGGAGAGAUGGCAAGAAGUCCAGAUCUAGUGACAUGGAUUAUGAGGAGGAUGAACUGUUGUCACAUAGUGAUCCUGAAGGAAAGAAGAAGAAGAAGAAGAAGAAGAAGAAGAAUAAACAAAAGAAGGAUCUCUAAGAGUUACCAAUCGAGAAAAAGAGGGAAAUGACACUUACAACACGCCAGCGGGCCCUUCUAAGCAAGGAUGCCUCUUCUGCAUCCGGGAAAAGUCAAAUUGAGUUCCCAAAUGGUUUACCCCCACUACCGUCUCGAAGCGAGUAUCUUUAUUUCAUUUUUCUGAUUUUUUGUUCAUUUCCUAGUUAUUUACUAGUCAUGUCUCGUCUUUGCCAAUUACCUAUGUUCCAGCGCAAAAGGAGAAAUUGUUUGAAAUCAAACAGCAAUUGAAGAAAAUUGUGGCCGCUUAGAAGUGUAGAAUGCUAAAUGAGAAAGCAGCCCAGUAAUAAGAGGUUUGCCUUUUAAUGUUGCUAAAUUUUAUUUUCAUUUGUUUUAUAUAGCUUUUAGAACUUGUCAGAAUGAGUAUAGUACAUUAAAAAUAUGCAAGCUGAAGCAAUUAUAAAGUAAACGGCCAAGAUUCCAGUAUGAAGAAAUGAGGAAAAAGUGAAGAAGCAGCAGGAAGAGUUAGCAAAGGCAUUGACCUCUUACAAUAUUUAAUGAGAUGUGGGAUUGAGAUUUGUUUCUUAUAUGUAAUAUCAAUAUUUUCCUGUAGGCUACGAUAAACAUUGGCCUUUUUCUCUGUGUUGGCUUGCAGUUUUAAGUGUCAGAAUCGAACUAAUCAGCUAUUGGAUCGAGUUUCUCGGGCAACAUCCUCAUUUUCAAUGGUAUGCCGGUUUCAAACUUUAAAGAAGAGUAUCUCUGUUUCUGAACCUCUGUUUUUUACUUAGACUUGCAUGAUUUAGAUGCAUUGCAUGAUAUUUAUAUGAUAAUAGUUAUUGUUGCACUAAUGAAGUGAACGAGAGGUCACAUUGUCGUUCUCUAAGACAUUUGAGAUAAUGUUUGUUAGUUUUGUAAUCUAUUUUGUACUCAAAGAGAUGACAGGAUGAGCACAAAUGUAGAUGUUUUUUCCUUCAUUAGAUAGUAUUAAAGAUGUAAAAGGAUAAAGGAAAGGCUUUGUUACCUUCUGAUUGUGGAGUUAAUGAAUAUUAUGCCCAUGAUCUUCACUGAUUAUCUAGAUUUUCCCAGCCAUGAUCUCACCUAGCAUUUGAUAAAAAUAGAUUUAAAAUACCACCAGACUGACUUUGGUUUCCAAUCCAGCUAAUUCAAAGUUGUGCAUUUUAUUUGAAUUUAUGAUAUUUACUACUUGCACAAAUGUAUUUUAUAUGCAUGUAUGUGUAGUGUAAUGAAUUAUAUUUCUUUCGAGUUGAUUUGUGUGGAGCUUUAUGAUGUUGGAAAUUUGUCUUGUUUGUGAUUAUAGAUGGCACUGUACUGGUACAUUUGAUGUACGCAAUAGAACUGGAGGUUGUUUUGGAACCAUGAGGUUCCAUGCUGAGCUGGCUCAUGGAGCCAACAAUGGCAUUGACAUUGCUUGUAGGUUCUUGUAGCCCAUCAGGGAGCAAUUCUCUGUCCUUUAUCUUACUGAUUUCUAUCAAGAAGUUUAUUGAUUCAGAAUGUUUAUAUUACGUAAUUUGUUUGGUUUGCUUUAUUAAAUAUAAUUUUUUUAGAGAAAUUGGAUUAUUUUCAUUCUCAUCUUGCACAUAGUUGGCUGCUGGUGUUGUUGAAGUUACUGGAGUACGUAAAAUUCCAAUCCAUCCAGGAAGGCUGGUUAGUAUUUUUUUUUCCAACUCAACCGAUGCAUUUAACAAUUUUAUGUUUAUAAUCUGCAUGUACAAAUUGUGAUAUGCACAUUUUUUGAGUUAUUAUGUUGUCUAUUCAUUAUUAAGAAGCCAUGUUUUAGAAUGUGGUAUAGCUUAUGUGCUUGUAAAGAGUAAGACACAAUUUAUCCCUUCAUGAAUUUAAAUGUCUAUUCAUUUUUUGCAUUUGAACUUUGUCUUAAAUUUGUAGUGACAUACAACUUGUAAGAAUUGAACCUAGAUGUUUUGAAUCAUUAUUUAUAAUAUGAGAUAUUUGAUAUAUUUUUCCUCUAACUAAUAUUUUAUUACUUUUUAUAUGUUCGUCUUUGACUGAAGUUUUGGAGCUUGUCCUUUCAGGAAUCCUCAUUUAACCAAAUAACAAAUUGUGGUUGAGUUGAAAGUAUAUCUUGAAGUCAAGAAAGUUAUUUGAUUGUCCUGUGAAUUAGUAGUUAAUUCUUCAGUCUUUGGAUUUGAUUUUCUUCUUUUUAGGUUUGGUGAACUACACUAAGUAGUUCAAUCAUGAAAUUGUUAGCAUAUAUUUUAUUGGUAUUUGUUUUGGUUUUGGAGGUAACCAAGUUUCUAAAUAAUGCUUUGACCUAUAUUUAUUUGAUUGACAAUUGAGUUUUUUUUCUAUAUUUUGAAAUCAUUUAAAUUUU